AAAAUCUCGUAACUUCUAAGUGAACCAGGCAGUUUCCAAAACCUGCCUUUUAGCUAUUAAGCUAUAAAUAUUUGAAAAAAGUAUUUACAUUGACAAAUAACUAUGAAGUUUUUAGAACUUAUGAAGAUCAUGAUGAAGAAAAAACUAUUUGUAAUAUUAUCAAAUUGCUUAUUCCUUUCUGAAGUCAUUUAUUCAAUAUCAUUUAUUUGCAGAUAAUAGGUACCAGGCAUUGAGAAAUUCAGAAUAAAUAAGAAAAUGGAAUAAACAAAGGGUUAUAAAAAAAUCUAGGAUGGGUUAUUCAUUUUAAAAGAGAAUGGGGCUUAGGUGAAAAAAAGCAAAAAUAUACACAAGGACUUGAACAUUCUAACAUAAUGAGCAAGUCAUACCCUGCCAGAUGCACGAGAGUGGAUGACAGGAUGUGCUGGAAAGGAACAUGGGAAGUACCUAAAAUGAAAAGGACCUGAAAUGCAAUUCUAAAGAUUUCGUCUAAAAGAAAUGGCAAGUUGGCAGAUAAUUUUUAAAUUCAAGUGUAAAUAAUCUGAUAAGUAUUUUAGAAAGCUGACUGGAUGGUAUAAAGAGGGUGCAUUAGAGAAGGAAAAUAUGGGUGGCAGGGAGAUCUAUGAGGGUUUUGUGAUGGGUUGAAUGGUGUCCUCCCAGGAGAUAUGUUGAAGCCCUAUUUUUGGUACCUGUGAAUAUGACUUCAUUUGGAAAUAGGAUCUUUGCAGAUGAAAUCUAGUUAAGAUGGGUUCAUUAAGGUGGGCCCUAAUUCAAUAUGACUGUUUUCCUUAUAAAAAAAGGAAAAGACGGAGAAACGGGGAGAAGAAUGCCACAUAACAAUGAAGGUAGAGAAUGGGGUUACACAGCUACAGACCAGAGAACAUGAAGGACUGUCACCAACACCACUGCUAAGAGAAGGGCACAGAACAGGUUCUCCCGCAGAGCCUUUAGAGGAAGCAAGACCCUGUCAACAGCUUUUCUGAGUUCUAGCCUUCAGAACUGUGAGAGAAUAAAUUUCAGCUUAUGGUACUUUUUAUAUGACAGCCCAAGGAAACUAACACAAGUAUUGGUGGAACACUUCUUCAACAAAUAGCACUUGAAUUAAGGCAGUGGCAGUAAAAAUGGAGAGGAGGAGGUAUGUGGUAGACCAGGGAUAUAUUUGCUAAAGGACAAACGAAGUAAUGAGACUUAGAAACAGAACGAUGGAGCCACAAAGAAUGCCUGAAAUGGUAAUAGGAUACAUGCUGGAAUGUUGAUGGGCCCCAUUUCCACAAGCCUCCAAAUCUGCUUCUAGAUCCCAUUCAAGCAAGGGAGGAUUUGUUAAGAAGAAAGGCCCUUUGAGAGCACCAGUCCCUCCACCAGCCAGUCUAGUCCUAAGAGCUCUGAAGGCCAACCUUGGAGGUGGUUCAGGAGGGAAAAUGCAGGACCCAGGAUUUCAGUUGCCAAGCCAGAGAGCAGGGGACCCAGGAAAGAAUAUUGGCAUUCAUUUGAUUUUUCCAUCUUCUGAUAUAACCUUCAAAUGUUAAUAGUGUGUCGAAGAAUUUAUUGGAAAUGAGAAACAAGAAAACAGUGAGUCUAACCUAGUCAUUCUAGAAUUGGGAGGUAAUAGAAAAGAGAGAAAUGGGAAAGUUGCUCAAAUGCAAGUCCAGUGAAUCAGAGAGAAAAGGCUCAAAGCAGCAGAACAAAGCUUCAAUAAAGAGAUAUUGUGACUUGGAGAGAUGGCCUUUUGUCCUUUGUUCUAUUACCAGUCAGAGGAUGGGGAGCACACCCGAGCCUGAGACAACAGCUCUGCUAAGUGCCCUUGAGAGGGCACGGUGGGGUCAGCACCAAAGUCAGACCACUAAAGAGAAAAAGAGAGAAAGACAGGAUUGCAGAGGAGAAAUGAGAAUGGCAGAAAAAAUAAUUUUUUAAGCCAAAAGGAAUCAGAGAAGAGCAGAAGUGCCUCUAGGAUAAAGCGUAGCAGGCAGUUAGGGAAAAAGGGCUGUUAACUACCUUGAAGCUCUGACUACAUUAGAAAGCCUCGCAAGACAGUCGUUGCUUGCACGGGCAGGUAGAGAACUUUUCCUGUCCAUUGUUCUUCUGAAUUAUAAAUCACUGACCUCUUUAUGAUUUCUAAAGGGAAAAUGACUUCAAGCUUCUUAGAGUUCCCCUAAGGCAUUCUCUAUAUUCAAUAUAAUAUGGGAAGCCCUGGGUUUGUCUUUGUAUGUUUCAUCUGCAGUGACCUGAAAUCUUCAUAACCCUCUUCCUUUCUCCACUUAUCAACUAAGGGGUGGUUGGCAAUAAGGAUGGGUGGGAGAGAAAAAAAAACAGAAUUUGAGGAGGAGAGCAUUUAAACCAUCAGACUGUGUGUUCUGUGACAUCAAAGACUGGCAACAUUCUAAAGGAAAAGCAGCUGUGAAGUCAUAAUUAUGUUCACUUCCCACUGGCAACUGGCAAGCCCUUUAUUUUUGUGCAUUCGGAACUCACCAAGAAUAAAUAAAGUCCAUUCCCUCCUUGAGGGGCUAUUCUGCCAUUCCAUCUAGGAUUUAAAAGUUUGCCAAUUCCUAAAACAUCUAUUGUUAUCAAUAGUCUUGUGUCUUUCACAAAGCGGACUUUACAAAAUAAGUUAACAGGCCAUGAGAGGAACAGUCACACAUACCAAGAAAGGUACAUACGGAGAUAAUUCCAAUCAAAGUGAGCACAGCCUACGCAUAAACAGGAUUUUCCAAGAAAAAAGCAUUAAAGUGCCAUAGAAUAUUAAAGAGCAAUUAAAAGAAUGAAGAUCUCUUCAUAUGCUGGAUAGGCGGAGUGACCCAGCAAUCAUAUGGACACCAUCCAUUCCAGUGACACUCAAACUUCAGCGUGCAUCAGAAUCCCUGCAAGGCUUGCUAAGACACAGACUGCUGCGCCUACCUCAGAGUUCCUGAUUCAUCAAGCUUGAAGUAAGGCCUGAGAUUUUUGCAUUACUAACAAGUCUUCAGGUGAUACCAAUGCUGCUGAUCUGGAGACUGCCUUUGAGAGCCACUAUUCUAUCUCUUUCCCAAUCAACUGUCCUUUCUCACCUCCCUUUUAAAUCUCCAGCACCUGCUCCCUCAUGUUUACUCUCAAUGCACAAUCUUUUUUUCUCCUUCACUGACAGAAGUGAAACAAUUAAAAGAGAAUUUCCCCAGUCUCUCACUACUGCACCUGCUCACCCUCCCACAAGCACGUGUACUCACUGUGCUUUUCUUGCUGUUUUGAAAGGUGAAUUGUCUGUGGUCUUUCUAGAGCCAAUCUCUUCACAUGUGCACCAGAUUCCAAGACCUGCGGCCCACUCAAGGGCAUCCUGCAUGUCUUCUCCCAUCUCUUACCUUGUCAACUCUUUCCACUUUUUGAGUCAUCCUCCUCAGCACAAAAGAUUGUUACUCACUUAUCUUAAAAAGUAAAAGACUAAACCAACAAAAACAAGAAAAAACAGAAAUAAAACCUUUUACUGGACCCUCUCUCCCUACCAGGUAUGACUCCAUUUCUCUUUGCCUUUGCAGAAAAACAUUUAGAAAGGGGGUCUGUAUUAAUUCUAUCCAGUUCCUCUCCUCUCAUUCUCUCACAGACCCACUGAAAUCAGGUCUUAACUCUCAACAAAAUUGCUCUUACUGAGGUCUCAGAUAAACUUCAGGUUGCUAAAUCUCAUGGCCCACAUUUGGUCCUCUCACAUUUUACCCCCCUUGACAGAGAUGGCACCACUCCUUGAUACUUCUAUUUUUUUGGCUUGUAAGGCUUCCUAAUUCACUGGUUGCUAGUCUCAGAACUUUGCGAAUGACUUAUCUUUUCUUAUACCUCUUAGUCCUGGACUGACUUGCCCCAGAUUGUAGCUUCUUUUUUUAUCCACUCUCCUUCCUUUGGGGAUCUCAUCCAGUCUCCCUCUGUAUGCCCUUUGUUGCCAAAUUUACAUCUCCAGCCCUGAAUGCUCCUUUGCCUCAGACUCCAAAACUAUAUUCAAAGUCUCUCAUUUAGAUCAUUCAAACUUUUCAAGAGUGACUCCUGAUCUUCUCCCAAAUAUCUGAGCUGCUCAAAGCUUUCCAUCUCAGUAGAUGAAAAAUUCACCCCUCUAGUGCUUAGGUCAAAAAUCUUUGAGUCACCCUUGUUUCCUCUCUUUAUUACUCCCACUGUACAUCCGAUUCACCAGGAAGUCUUCCUGUGUUUACCCUAAACAUAAUUCAGAGACCAAUUACUCCUCACCACCUCCAUGGCUAUCACUUUCAUCAGACUUGCUAGAUUUUAGCAAUCGUCUUAUAACUGUUUUCCCAUUCCCACCCUUGCCUCCUUCCAUUCUAUUGCCCACAAAGAAGUAUAAGUGAUCCUUUUGAAACAUAAGUCAGAUCAUGGCAUUUCUUUCCCAAAAAGAAAUGCAAGUGUCUAAAUUCUUCGCCUACCUCAGAGUAAAAGUCCAAGUUCUUAUAUGGCCUUUAAAGACCUCUGUGUACUCUCCUCCUCCCUCCGUUAGCUCUCUGAUCUUCCCUUCUUCUUUUCUUCCUCAUCCUACUCUGCUCCAGCCACGCAGUCUUUCUGGCUAUUUCUUGAACAUAGUAAACAUGAUCCCUCCUCUGAGCUUUGAGUUGUUUCCUUUGCCUGGGAAAUUCCAUCUGGAGACUUCCGGGCUUGCUCACCUAUAUAGGCAAGUCUGUACAUGAGACCUGCUCUGACCACUCAAUUUAAAAUGGCAGCAAAAUCCUUCCUGGCACCCCACCUUUAAAAUGGCAACAAAAGCCUUCCUGGCACCUUUCCUUUCUAGCUUUGGACCUAUUACAUAAUCUAUGUAUCUUUUGUGUUAUCAUCUGCCUUCCCCGCUAGUAUGUAAACUCCACAAAGGUUGAGAUUUUUGUUUGGUUCACUGAUGUAUCCCAAGAACAUAAUUCAGUAUCUAACUUGCAGUGGAAACUCACCAAGUAUUUAUCAAAUUAUUUGAUAAAUGAAUGUGAUGAUAAAUGAAUGUGACUGUAAAAUGAUACUUUAUAGUCACUGGAGAAAUCAGUCUCUGACAUCCCCAGGAACAAAAUCAACAUUCUUUGGAAUAGUCAUUGAUAAAGGGUUCAUAACUUUUUGUGCCAUGGACUUCUUUGGCAGUCUGUCGAAGCCUAUGAACCCCUUCACAGAUUAGUAUUUUUAAAUGUACAAAAUAAAAUCGAUAAACUACAAAUGUAGUAAAUUAUUUUAUCAGAACAUUUUUAAAAUUAUAAAACAAAUUUGUAGCUAAUAGUAAUACACAUACUUUGUUAUCCAUUAAUUGACAACAUCUGGUAGUGGUUCUAAUAACGACCAUAAUUUUGAAGUACUGAUGUCUAUGAAUGAUAUUUCAAGAUGUCUGUAAUAACUCUAAUGUGAUACGAAUGUAUCUGUAAUUUCCAUUGUGAACAAAGUCACUGGUACUGCUAAUAGCACCAUGGUUUCUUGCCUAUAUUCAUAAAUGAAGGAAAUGUUAAAUUUUAGCUAGUUAAAAAAAAAAAAUGAAAAUGAGGUUGUAUUUUCUACAGAUACUUAAAUGAAUGCUUUGGAAACACUUGUAAGGAGUAGAAAUAAAAGCAGAAAGACUUUCCCCUUUCUUACUCCCCCAAAAGGUGCUACUGAAUUGUUGCAGAUAAGGAAAUUGUAAGAUAAUUGAAAAAAAUGAUAAAAAUCUGGAAGAAUUCUGUACCAAGACUGUUUUUGCUUUUGCAAGUGUCUAAAUUCUUGUUCUACUUUAAUAGAAUCAAAUCUGGAAAUUAUCAGAGUGAUGAUGUACGUGGUUCAUAUAAAGCAGACAAUGUGGAACUCCAAGUAUCUGAACAAUCAGAUCAAAAUACCCAGACUACAUAUCAAGAAAGCAGGCUGAGUGUGAUGGUUCAUGCCUGUUAUCCCAGCACUUUGGGAGGCUGAGGCAGGAGGAUUGCUUAG
rnacentral:lncRNA from 1 species